rnacentral:rRNA from 1 species
UACGGGGGGGGCAAGCGUUGUUCGGAAUUACUGGGCGUAAAGGGCGCGUAGGCGGCCAACUAAGUCAGACGUGAAAUCCCCUGGCUCAACCAGGGAACUGCGUCUGAUACUGGAUGGCUUGAAUCCGGGAGAGGGAUGUGGAAUUCCAGGUGUAGCGGUGAAAUGCGUAGAUAUCUGGAGGAACACCGGUGGCGAAGGCGGCAUCCUGGACCGGUAUUGACGCUGAGGCGCGAAAGCCAGGGGAGCAAACGGG